ACCUUGGUGGUGUAGUGGCAGCACGCGUCCCCGGUAUAGAUGAAACACGGGGUCGACUCCCGUCAAAGAUC